AGUGAACGCUGGCGGUAGGCCUAACACAUGCAAGUCGAACGAGUGGCGGACGGGUGAGGAAUACAUCGGAAUCUACGCUGUCGUGGGGGAUAACGUAGGGAAACUUACGCUAAUACCGCAUACGAUUGAAUGAGCCGAUGUCGGAUUAGCUAGUUGGCGGGGUAAAGGCCCACCAAGGCGACGAGCCCUAGCUGGUCUGAGAGGAUGAUCGUCCAACAUGGAACUGAGAAACGGUCGAGACGCCUACGGGAGGCAGCAGUGGGGAAUAUUUGGCAAUGGGCGCAAGCCUGAUCGAGCGAUGCGGCGUGAGUGAAGAAGGCCUUCGGGUUGUAAAGCCCUGUUGUGAGGGAAGCGGUACUCAAAGAGUAAGCAACGGCUAACUACGUGCCAGCAGCCGCGGUAAUUC
rnacentral:rRNA from 1 species